AUUGAACGCUGGCGGCAGGCCUUACACAUGCAAGUAGAACGAGUGGCGGACGGGUGAGUAAUGUCUGGGAAACUGCCUGAUGGAGGGGGAUAACUACUGGAAACGGUAGCUAAUACCGCAUACCAUCGGAUGUGCCCAGAUCGGAUUAGCUAGUAGGUGGGGUAAAGGCUCACCUAGGCGACGAUCCCUAGCUGGUCUGAGAGGAUGACCAGCCACACUGGGACGGAGACACGGUCAAGACUCCUACGGGAGGCAGCAGUGGGGAAUAUGUCACAAUGGGGGCAAGCCUGAUGCAGCCAUGCCGCGUGUAUGAAGAAGGCCUUCGGGUUGUAAAGUACUUUCAGCGGAGAGGCGUUACCUGCAGAAGAAGCACCGGCUAACUCCGUGCCAGCAGCCGCGGUAAUAC
rnacentral:rRNA from 1 species